UUGCGUGUAAAACUCCAAACAAUGGCGUAGUCUAUGGAAGCACGAGACCGAGAGAAAAAGGACCAUGCUGGCGAGGGGUGACGACGGACGCCGGUGAUCCUCCGGCGAGAAUCUACUUCCGGCCCUGCUGAUCCAGGGCCUGUCGCAUGAUUUGAGGCCUCAUCCUUAAUCGAUUCACGAUGAUUUAGCAUGAGAUGUAAAUAAACAUUAAUGAUUUGGGGAUCUCCUGAUGAUUCAAGACAACCUAACUCUUUGGAAUGGGGUGCAAUGACAAAUUGUGAAGCUAGAUGCAAAUUUGAUUGGCUGAUGCCUUUGGAAAGGAACACUUGUAGAGCCUCAGAAUGCUAUGAUUUCAUAAGCAAUCUCCACCAAGAGCCAACCUUGCUUAUGAAUCCUGAUACAAGGGAGAGGAAACAAUCCCAUGAAGACCGCUGACCUGUUCUUCUCUGUGCAAAGUGAGAUUGUCACCAUCUUUGCUACAGCAUCUGAGAUACCGAUGUUGAUCGUAGACAUCAUCAGCGACUUCAUAGACAGUCAACCAUUCUGCAGGAUGACUGAAGACACCGUCAUUGAUCAUGGUCUCGGUCAGGAGCAUGAUACAUGCCAACAAUUCUGCUGUAUAUGCGCGAAGAAUACCAUCAUGUCUUCAACCCAAAACCAAGUCAAUUCAUAAGAAUCAUAACAGCAACAUUGGUUCUGAAGUCUAUGCUUGUUUCUUCUUGGAUCAUCCUCUCCUCCUUCAGCAGUAACAUUCUGCUCAGUAAUAUUCACUUACUGCAGCCGGAAUCUUGAAACCCCAUUUCCGGAGAUGGUAUUCCAGAGAUCGGUGUUUGGUGAUACACAAUUCUGGUGAUUCUAAAGCUCCAAUUAUUGCCCUGAGAGGGAGGUUUGUCCAUUUCUUUAUCAGUGCUUGACUAUUCUCCAAACCAUCCACUUCAAUGCAAGUCUCUGUCUGUUCUUAUCUUCAGUUUCAACCCAUUCUAUUGAUCUUUUCUCUGAAUUUAUCUUCUCAAUAUGGUGAAUUUUCUCAAUGGGAAAAUAUUUAUUUCAGGAA